GUGAACGCUGGCGGCGUGGAUAAGGCAUGCAAGUCGAACGAGACCUUCGGGUCUAGUGGCGCACGGGUGCGUAACGUGUGGGAAUCUGCCCUUGGGUUCGGAAUAACUUCGGGAAACUGAAGCUAAUACCGGAUGACGACGUAAGUCCAAAGAUUUAUCGCCCAAGGAUGAGCCCGCGUAGGAUUAGCUAGUUGGUGAGGUAAAGGCUCACCAAGGCGACGAUCCUUAGCUGGUCUGAGAGGAUGAUCAGCCACACUGGGACUGAGACACGGCCCAGACUCCUACGGGAGGCAGCAGUGGGGAAUAUUGGACAAUGGGCGAAAGCCUGAUCCAGCAAUGCCGCGUGAGUGAUGAAGGCCUUAGGGUUGUAAAGCUCUUUUACCCGGGAUGAUAAUGACAGUACCGGGAGAAUAAGCUCCGGCUAACUCCGU
rnacentral:rRNA from 1 species